CUCAACUCCGCUUGAUCCUGGCGGACCCAACUGCUAUCGGGGUGGGACUAAGCCAUGCAAGUUUGCGCCUCCAGCCAUGGGGAGGCGCGGCGCACGGCUCAGUAACACGUGGCUAACUUACCCUUGGGACGGGGACAACCCCGGGAAACUGGGGCUAAUCCCCGAUAGGCAAGGAUGCCUGGAAGGGUUCCUUGCCUAAAGGAAGCUGGAACCAUGCUUCCAGCUUCGCCCAAGGAUAGGGCCGCGUCCGAUCAGGUAGCUGGUGGGGUAACGGCCCACCAGGCCUAUAACCGGUACGGGCCGUGAGAGCGGGAGCCCGGAGAUGGACCCUGAGACAAGGGUCCAGGCCCUACGGGGCGCAGCAGGCGCGAAACCUCCGCAAUGCGCGCAAGCGUGACGGGGUCACCCCGAGUGCCGCCCGCUGAGGGCGGCUUUUACCUGGUUUAACCCGCCAGGUGAAUAAGGGGGGGGCAAGCCUGGUGUCAGCCGCCGCGGUAAUACCAGCUCCCCGAGUGGUUGGGACGAUUAUUGGGUCUAAAGCAUCCGUAGCCGGCCGAGGAAGUUCCCCGUUAAAUCCAGCGAUUCAAUCGUUGGACUGCGGGGAAUACUCCUCGGCUAGGGGGCGGGGGAGGCCGGCGGUAGUCCCGGGGUAGGGGCGAAAUCCUAUAAUCCCGGGAGGACCACCAGUGGCGAAGGCGGCCGGCCA
rnacentral:rRNA from 1 species